GUAUGCAAUCUACCUCUUACUGAGGGAUAGCCCAUGGAAACGUGGAUUAAUACCUCCAUUAUUAUAAACUGGCCUCAGUUUAUGAUUAAAGGUUACGGUAAAAGAUGAUCAUGCGUCCUAUUAACUAGAUGGUAACGUAACGGCUUACCAUGGCUACGAUAGGCAGGGGUCCUGAGAGGGAGAUCCCCCCCACUGGUACUGAGACACGGACCAUACUCCUACGGGAAGCAGGAGUGAGGAAUAUUGGACAAUGGGCGACAGCCUGAUCCAACCCUGCCGCGUGGAGGAAGACGGCCCUAUGGGUUGUAAACUGCUUUUACAGAGGAAGAACCCUCCUUACGUGUAAGGAGCUGACGGUACUCUAUGAAUAAGGAUCGGCUAACUCCGUGCCAGCAGCCGCGGUAAUACGGAGGAUCCAAGCGUUAUCCGGAAUCAUUGGGUUUAAAGGGUCCGUACGCGGGUCUAUUAUGCAAUGGUGAAAGUCUGCACCUUAACUGUACAACUGCCAUUGAUACUGUAAACCUUGAAUUAGUAUGAAGUGGUUAGAAUGUGUAGUGUAGCGGUGAAAUGCAUAGAUAUUACACAGAAUACCGAUUGCGAAGGCAGAUCACUACUACUAUAUUGACGCUGAUGGACGAAAGCGUAGGUAGCGAACAGGAUUAGAUACCCUGCUAGUCUACGCCGUACACGAUGGUUACUAGCUGUCCGGCCUAAUUGAGGGCUGGGUGGUUAAGCGAAAGUGAU
rnacentral:rRNA from 1 species